GGCGCGUUCGUCUAGCGGCCCAGGACGCUGCCCUCUCAAGGCAGAGAUCACGGGUUCAAAUCCCGUACGCGCCACCA
rnacentral:tRNA from 2 species